GGCAGGCUUAACACAUGCAAGUCGAGGGGCAGCGCGAGGUAGCAAUACUUUGGCGGCGACCGGCGCAAGGGUGCGUAACGCGUGAGCAACUUGCCCGUAACAGGAGGAUAACCGGAGGAAACUCGACUAAUACUGCGUAGAAAUAAUUGGUGGCAUCACCGAGUGUUUAAAGGCGAAAGCCGGUUACGGAUAGGCUCGCGUGACAUUAGCUAGAUGGCGGGGUAACGGCCCACCAUGGCGACGAUGUCUAGGGGUUCUGAGAGGAAGGUCCCCCACACUGGUACUGAGACACGGACCAGACUCCUACGGGAGGCAGCAGUGAGGAAUAUUGGACAAUGGUCGGAAGACUGAUCCAGCCAUGCCGCGUGAAAGGCUAAGGUCCUAUGGAUUGUAAACUUCUUUUGUACGAGAGGAAUAAGGCGGACGAGUCCGUCGACGACAGUAUCGUACGAAUAAGCAUCGGCUAACUCCGUGCCAGCAGCCGC
rnacentral:rRNA from 1 species